rnacentral:rRNA from 1 species
UAACACGUAGGAGGCGAGCGUUAUCCGGAUUUACUGGGCGUAAAGCGCGUGUAGGCGGUUUGGCAAGUUGGAUGUGAAAUCUCCUGGCUCAACUAGGAGAGGUCGUUCAAUACUGCCAGACUAGAGGACGGUAGAGGAAGGUAGAAUUCCCGGUGUAGUGGUGAAAUGCGUAGAUAUCGGGAGGAAUACCAGUGGCGAAGGCGGCCUUCUGGGCCGUUCCUGACGCUCAGACGCGAAAGCGUGGGUAGCGAACGGGAUUAGAAACCCCGGUAGUCCACGCUGUAAACGAUGCGGACUUGGUGUUGGUGGCGUAAAAACCAUCAGUGCCGAAGCUAACGCGUUAAGUCCGCCGCCUGGGGACUACGAUCGCAAGAUUA